rnacentral:tRNA from 1 species
UAGGAUGGAGUGUGUAGGUAGCACGAAGAAUUUUGAAUUCUUAUGGGUAGGUUCAAUUCCUGUCAUUCUAG